rnacentral:rRNA from 1 species
UCAAUAAGCGGAGGAAAAGAAACUMACAAGGAUUCCCCUAGUAACUGCGAGUGAAGCGGGAAAAGCUCAAAUUUAAAAUCUGGCGGUCUUUGGCCAUCCGAGUUGUAAUUUAGAGAAGCGUCUUCCGCGCCGGACCGUGCACAAGUCUCCUGGAAUGGAGCGUCAUAGAGGGUGAGAAUCCCGUCUUUGGCACGGAUGCCUGGUGCUUCUGUGAUGCGCUCUCGAAGAGUCGAGUUGUUUGGGAAUGCAGCUCAAAAUGGGUGGUGAACUCCAUCUAAAGCUAAAUAUUGGCGAGAGACCGAUAGCGAACAAGUACCGUGAGGGAAAGAUGAAAAGCACUUUGGAAAGAGAGUGAAACAGUACGUGAAAUUGUUGAAAGGGAAACGCUUGAAGUCAGUCGCGUCGUCCGAGACUCAGCCUUGCCUUGGCUCGGUGUAUUUCUCGGCACGACGGGUCAGCAUCAAUUUUGCCCCUCGGAUAAUGGCAAGGGAAAGGUGGCACCUUUACGGGUGCGUUAUAGUCUCCUGUCGCAUGCGAGGGGUGGGAUUGAGGAACUCAGCACGCACCUCGGUGUCGGGGCUUUGGCCCACGUCACGUGCUUAGGAUGCUGGCGUAAUGGCUUUAAACGACCCGUCUUGAAACAC